UUAACCGGGUCCCAGAGGCGCGUUUUCUGCUCCAUCGCUUUCUGCCCCCUUUUACGUAAAAAAGCGACAGGCACUUAAACUAGCCUUAAAGAGUUCAGAUUUCUACAGCUGGGCCCAGGCCUUAGCACGCGGAGCGGGGAAAGAAUCUACAGUUUUCUCGUCCGUGACCUAAUUUAGCAGAAUUCGAACCCAGGCUCGCAAGCGGACGCGGUCCCCUCUUCAGGAUAAAAGUUCGGGGUCGGUGACCCCCGGCGCCACGUCCCGAGCCCAGGAAUCAGUAACUCAAAGCCAGAGGCAAGGCUCCUCCCAUCAGAAGCCUCGGUAAAGCCACGCGGGCCAAACGGUUUGGGCAAGUCCAGCUCGGGGAAAAGCGCUCCGACUUAGCGGAGUGGCCAGCCCCGCGGCACGCCCACCCUCUCGCGCCUGCCCGGGACUCCACCCCGCCCCUUUCUCCAGGCCCGCCCGCCCGCUCGCCCCGCCCACCCCUCCACUCUCGGCUCUCGGCUCUCGACCCUCGACCCUCGACCCCCGACCCUGUCUAUGCUGUCUCGGAUCGCAAGCUCUCGGAGACUGCUCCACGAUUUCUGGCCUCGCUUCUCCACUGGUAUGAUGGGAGACUUAGCCUCAAAGCUCAUCAGACGCGAGGACGCUAUAGCCGGCCGCAGCGAACCGCUGAAAGUAGCAGAGAUACACUGAGACGGAGGAAAGAAGAGAAUUCAUGCUCAUUCAGGUGAAUGAAGGGGUUAAAGAACCUUGAAGUAAAAUGGUCUACAGCAUUCUCAAAACACCUGGAGUUUAUUUUUCAUUGGAAAAAAAAAAAACUGAAACAUCUAUCACAGAUUGUGUAAUUGCCCUUCUUUCUCAAAUAAACUUAUAGCCAAUGGAAAU
rnacentral:lncRNA from 1 species